rnacentral:misc_RNA from 1 species
AAAGAACAGAAGUAUUCUUGAAGUUAUUCCAGGUUUUGAGCAAGCAAUCCAAGCCUAUGCAGUUCAUGUGCUUUCGAUCACAUACCAGAAGGUGCCUAGGUCUGUACUAGCUGAGACAAUCAAUGUUGAAGGUCCUUCCCUGGACAAGUUUGUUGAGUACCAAGUAGCCAACCAUGGCUGGGUCCUUGAGAAGGGUAGCGGGCGGUCACAGCUGAUUGUGAUGCCCCGCAACGAAUUCAAUCAUCCUGAGCUGAAGAAGAACACGGCAGACAGCGUCCCUUUUGAGCGUGUCACUCGGAUCUUUCCUGUCCUCACUUAAAUGGAGUGCGGCUAUCCAAUCGCCUUGGCUCGCUAAUGUGUUUGUAUCCUGACUCUAGUCGCUUUGUUAGUUGCAAACUAAAGUAUUAUAUGCAAACCAGAAUAUUAUAUGCGUUUGUGUUGAG